GACCAACGUAACAUUUACUGAGAACAAAAAUAAUAGUCACAAUUGAAAGUCCUGAAAUGGAAAUCCUAGGAGGAGAAAGGUCAUAACUUGAGUGAACUUUGUGUUUCUUUUAGCACAUGAAUUGAACAUUAAAAGUAUCUAUUGAUUUGUUUUUCAGACUGUAGUUUUCCUCAUUCUUUCUUUCUCAGGGAUGCUGUCACCUACUUGCCUUGUAGGGGCUGCCGUUCAGUUAACGAGAAGGUACUGUGAGCAUGAGAUGAAGAAGAAAGAUUCCAUGACUCAUAGGGAAAAUAAUGCAUGGCACUCUGGUUUGAGGUCAUGGUAGAUAAAGAAAUGAAAGGUCUGGCUGGUUUUGUCCAGGAAGGUGGCUACAGAUGAUUGAAAACUUCAUUAGCCUGAACUGUGGACAGAGGGAGAGCUUUGUCUUUCUCUCCCUAUCUCCAGCUUAGGCAGAAAAUACCACUUUUGUGUUUGAAGAUUAUGAAGAAAAUAUGGACCUGGUAAUAUUUUGAAUGGUGACAUGAAGUUAGGAUUAAGAUGCUGGGGUCUUCCUUUUUAAGAUGUACGAGGGAGGUUCAGCAGGAGGACACAUCAGAAAGGCAGCUGGUGCCUAAUUGCCAAAUGUUUGAGGUCUUCAGUUAAUGCUUUGCUGGAGGAACUAGGAUUUUGUGAUUAACUUUAUGGAAGUGUCAGAAAUACUUUUCAACACAUAGGAUAUGACAUUAGCUACAGCAUGAAGAGAUCUCAUACGUCUUCCGGGUCAAGAACUGGCGGGGGUUAGCAUUCUCUAAAUCCUCAGUGAUGAUGUGCAAGAUGGAUUUCAAAAUUAAGACAAAUAAUCUCCUAAAACCAAGUUCCUCCAUUCUGUUGCUUCAGAGUAAGUUCCUAGAACUAAUAAUGUGUGUGCUAGAUUUUUUUUUUUUGAAAGCCAACAAUUAGGUGUACCAGAAAAAAAAUUACUUUUGAGAAUAUUUGCUCUUUUCUACUUUUUAAUUAAAGUAAUGGGGAGAUAAUUACAAAAACCUGCCCUCUUUACCUUGUCUUUAUCUCUCUUCUUAUUGUUUAUGCAGGAAAAUUCUGAGGGCAUUUUUUUGGUAAAGACAGAGAAGUGUCCCAGAAACCUUGGCCAUUCCAAUCAUGUCAUUGUAUGUUACGGCUUUGUUAAAUUAACUUGUGUUAAGUGGCACACAGAGUGCUGGAUGAUGAGGCAUGGUGCAAGGGAAGACCAGUAGAGAGACUGAGAUAGAGAUGUUUAUUACUCACGGGUCCUGGAGGAAGGACACUGAACACUUCUGGGAACCGAGGAAGUCAAGGCAGAGUGUAGGCAGAGAGAGGGGCUGGACCUGGAGCACAUGCCUUUUUUAGGGUCUGUUGGCACAGUGCUUUGGGAUUCCUGGGCUAAGGCCUGACUAAGUAGGGUUUUGCUAAGCUCCUUGGGGGUCCUGCAUAAGGGGUGCCCAAGGGGAAUCCCCUGAGUGGUGUGGGAGACUGUUGACUGAUUACAAGGGCUGUUGGGGAAGGCGUACUAGGAACUUAACAUUUACUUGUGACUCUGUGAGCUUUAUCUAGGGCUUCUGAGGUGACUGGUGUCUGUUUAAAGCCCCUGCAGGUCACUUGGCCAUACACAAAAUGGACUCCGGGGCAGCAAUACCAUUGAGUGGCAUAGUUAAACUCUGGAGGCUGUGUUAUAGGGACUGCCUUUGCCUGAGAACGCCCCAACCAGACUUGCAAAGUUCUGAAUAUUGGAGCUGCUCUACCAAGGCCAUCAACUCUAAAGUAAAGAGAUGUAGCAUAAUUAGCUUUUCUGAUAGCCUCUUGAACAAAAUGUCAGUUCAGAAACCUGAAGUGUUUGCUAAUGACAAGGGCCCAACUGUCCCAUAAAACUAGAAAAGUGGUGUUUGUUGUCUGUUUCAAGAACUGGAAAUCAAAAUCUUAAUGAUACAGGAAAUGCUCUUCAAAGGCCAAGAAGUCUUAGUGAAAGAUAAGAGGAUCAAUCAGUCUUAAAUACGAGUUUACUAAGAGUAAGAGACGGGAUGUUGCUAGCGUGGAUAUGUAUUUCAAAAGGCAUGAAUAAAACCCAGAAAUGGUGUUAAUUUUACUUUGAAGUAUAUAAUGAAACCCCUCAAGUACCCAGACUUCAACACCCCUUUCCCAAAAUGACCAAAAUUUCCAUUUUUGAGCGUUUAUCAUUCCGCCUUUUUCCGUUCCCCGAGUCUUAACAGAAUUUUAAAAGAGCAGCUAAUAAAUGAAGUAUACUUCAGUUUCAUGUAAUGGAUUGGAUCAGAAGGGAACUGAUAAGAUGAUAUUGGAAAAGCAGGUGGGGGGUCGAAAAGCUGCACAAGUGCUAAGCUGUGUAGGUUCAAUUGAUUCCUGGCGCGCAGGCUGCAGUCCCUGAGUUAUUCCAGAAAAUGGAAGGAGAGCCCUCCCUGCACGCUUACAAGUAAGGCUCUUCCCCAGGGACUGGUAACCAGCAGGGCCAGAGGUGAUGAGGGGGAGGUAAGGCCAAUUAAGAAUUCAGACUGGGGAAGCAGGAAACAGAAGCCACAGGGAGAAUUCCAAAGGGGAAGGCAGGAAAUGCGACUCUGGGUCACUGUAGGCAUUCGCGGUAGAAUACAAAUAUGAGUUUUAAACCCGCUCUAGAGAAACUCAUUUUAGUGGAAGACAGGAUCAAAGGAGGCCGGACGCUUUGCAAUGUGGUUUCUAAAGGCAAGGCAGAGGGGUAGAAUAUCUGAGUAGAAACUUAUCAUUAAAACCUAGCCUGGUGUUUAUCAUCCUUUCUGUGUUCUUGGCACACUUUGGGAUAUUAGAAAUUUUAGUGGUGUAAUGGAAGGAAUUGAAAAGCUGAAAACAAAACUAAGAAGCAAUUCAGCAAUAAUUUCGACACAAUCACUGUUACAGUUUAACAAUAAUGGUGCAGUGUCUAUAGGCGCACCCCAGGGACUGAGAGCUGGGGUGGGGGAAGUGGUGAGGAGUCAGAGGGAGGUCUAGAUGCUAGACUCUGUGACCUCGGACCCAUUGCUUAUUGACUCGAAUCACCAGGCUCUGCAUCUCUAAAAUGGAGAAGAAUAGGACCUCCUUCAUGGAAUAUUCUAAAGGUUGAAGAAAAAAACAAUGGAGAGGUCACAGCUCCUGGCUCUUAUGAAUGCUCCUUAUCAUACGGUCUCCUUGCUCCUCAGCACCUGGCAAGGUUCCCUGUCCGGAUAGCCCUCUCUUAAGCUCUGGAGGCCAACUUCUUAUCUGGUUCAGUCAAUAUGAGCUCUUUCUUGGGCAAAAACCUGCUGUCUCUUACCUGACUCAGAGCAAGUUGUAGUUCUGCUCUUAUCAAACCACGUGACUGGCUUACCAACCUGUCCGGUCAGCCAGCCACUGUAGUGAAAGUAUAUACACCAAACUUAGGGACCAGUUUCAUAAACUGGACAAAAUUUGGGGGCACAUUUGAAAAAGUUUCACAGCAUAUUAGGGUGCCUGGACAAGUCAUCUAAGAAUGAACUUUGUAGGGGAAAGAUAGAAGAUUUAUUUUCUCCCUAAAUCAAGUUUUCCUUUCUCCUCUAAAUAGUGGGCCCAUAGGUUACUUAAUUGUUUUUGUCUUCAAGCGAGUACUGCUGGGCACCAUAGAAGGUAUUUCAAAGAUAUCGUCUCAUUUUUCUUCUCUUUGAAGCAACUCUGUGAGGAAGGUCAUAUUAUUUAAAAAAAAAAUCACUCUAUAGACAAGACACUAAGGCUUAGAAAGAUUAAGUAGCAUGAAAUUUAGGUCUUUAUAAACUCCAAAACUGAUGCUUUAGAAUUUGCAUUUCUGUUUACAGUGAUGCUGAAGCUACUGGUCUUAGAACAACAAUUUGAAAAACUCUGUUGUAAUAUCCCCUCAAACCCUAGUUGAGUCCCUCCAAAAGCCACAUAACAAUGCAUAUGUACACUCCUAAAGUGAAAACACAGCAUCUUGAAAGGAAAUCGGAAAUAACUCUCCCCAGGAAAACACUGAUGACCCUAGUCCUAAGUCAGAUACAGGCACCACCACCCUGUGUUAGAUGACUUCUUCAGUGGCUGAAGCUAUUUUGUGGUGAGCUUUGUAUUUCUUACCACGCCAAGGGCACAGAAAUUUAGUCCUACAUUGCCUAAUUCUGUGAUUUAUUGUUGUCAUUUGAAAUAAAAUACUUCCAUGCAUGGUAAAAAACAAAGCAAGAAAUAAAGGCUUGGAAAUGGUUGUGGUUUGUCAAUGGUAACACCAUUGGUAUCAUAUUUGUUUGUGAAGUUUUGAAAAUUGCUUUAGAAAGCCUUGGGGCAGAAAGCUUCACUUAAUUAAAAUAUUUUAAAUCAAACCACAGGAACUUCAGUUCAUAAAGCCUCAGGGUACAGCUAGCAAUUGUAAGAAACUCAAUUGGAAUAGGGUGGAUGAAUAUAAUAAUACAGGGUAUAACAUUUUAUUAUUUGUUUGCUGAGUUGAAAUAAUUAGGCCACAGAAAAUCUUUGGUUAACUAUUGGAAUUCUGAAGAUAAUCAUUAAUUGUUCCACAACUGGUUUAGUGAUUCCCAAAGACUGUUCAUGGAGCAUUGGGAUAAUGUUCCCAGGUUGUUUGAUGAGGAAAAGAUUUCCUCUUAAAGUAACUUUAGGAAGUAUUGCACCACUCUCUUGAAAGUAGACAUCAGCCAUUUGCUUAGGAAAAGCUCUUAAAAGAUCUAUAGUAUAGCAACCUGACCAUCUUGUCUAAACCAUCAUUUCCCAAAAUGUUUUGACCACAGAUCUUUGCUCCCUCUUCCUUUCCCGUAACCCCCAUCCCAAAUAACACCUUUUCACAAGGCAUGGAACCAAAAAGAUCUUUGGGAAACAUUGAUAAUAUUUUUAAGCUAAAAUGGAUACUGAACCAGUCAUAGGUAUUUACUGCCAAGCUGGGCUCCUCUCAUCUUUAAUUCUCGCUUUUUAGAAAAGUGUUGUCUUGCUCUUUGCUGACAUAAAGACCUGAACAUAGUUAUAUACCAUUUGAUGACUAAAUUGUACAAGCAGUGAGAGAUGCUAGGGUUGCCUUCUGAGUUUCUUAGUGGAUCCAGUAAAACCAUACCAAUUUGGUCUAACCGGGAGGAAGAUCUGUCCGACUUGUGUAAAGUUGGUAAAGAAACUUAAUUACAUUACUUCCAAUAGAUAACUUGAUGCCUUGAAUGAUGCCUAUAAAAGGUCCUUGGGGGAGGCCACUCUAAUGACUAGAGAUUAUUUAUAAUUACGGGAACACUUGUUGAUGUGUUAAAAGUAUGUGAAUUGUAUGAAAACUACAUGAGUUAAAUGUUUUUCUCCUUGGAAGUAUUAAUUUGCUUAGCAAAUUCAUUUUUCCUAGGUACUGGAAAGUAAUCUUCAGCCACUUUUUCCCCAGCUAGAGGAAAGGUAAACUUUAACCUAACCAUUUUUCUAAUUAUCACACAUUUUGAAUUAAUGGGGUCCAAAUUAAUUAAGGUUUUAUUAUAGUUUCAUCCUUAGGAGACAAGGUUUCAUUUCCCUCUUUUGAAGUAUUUUCAAUCUGAAUCAAAAGAAGAUUAACCUCACCUCUCUCCUAGCUUGAAGCCAAUGGGUUUCAACUUCUUUCUUUCCCUCCCCAACAUACCUGAGGGUUAUGAAACACUCCCUCUGUAAGGAAGAGGAGGUGUGUGCUGGGCUAUAAUUAGGAAAAUCUCCCUAGGUGAUUCUGAUAAGCUCCCCACCCCUUCUUGAGACUUUCUGGCUUUAUGCCUUUGAUUAAAACCUUGUAACCCUCAGGCAAGCGUGGAAGUGGGGCAGGAAGGGCAGUAUAGGCCCUGACAGGACUCCCGCUAAGCUAGGGCUCUGAUGGCAGGGAGUUCUGUACUGAAUACUGGGUAUUGAUAACCCAGGAGCAGCCAAAAGGAAGGAGAAUGAAAGUCUUUGGUAUAAUCAGGGGUGGAGAUUUAAGAGUUAAUCUGUUUGAUGCUCAAUCUAUGAAUGGGAAGGAAAAGAGAACUCCAUCCCAGUGCUUGCUUUCCCACCAUUUCUCCAACCUCACCUACAGUCUCUUAAAGUCACUGACAAAGAAAUAAGCUACUACAUGUAGGUUCAUAGAUGAUAGAGCUGUGGUGUCUGCAAACCAGGCUCUUGGGGGCUAAAAUGUGAAAUUAGAGGAAAUUAACAAUAUAAUGAAAGUUAUCAUCGAAAUCAUCAUAGUCAUUGUUGUGCAUUCCUAUUAUGAUCUAUCUUUUGAAGGUUUAGAUGAACUAGAACAGCUAGCAAAUAGAAACAAAUAUUUAAAAAAUUAUUUUUACUUGUAAGCAAAAUGUUAAAUGUGAGUAGGGUACCCAUUUCCUUUGAUAUUGAGGUACUGAAUCUUCUAGGCUAUUAAAGAGCCCUUUGGGAAAUAACUUGCCCUUGCCUAAUGCUUCUGUUGUUUUACUAUGUGCCAGGAUGAGUUGGAUGCUUAUUUAAUUACAUCUAUAUUUAUUUCAGUUCCUUUUAGCAGGUUGUCCACAUUUGAUAACAUUCCAACUAUCAUCUAAAUAUUCUAACUUGAGGGCAGCUCCUGUAAAUUAGAGGUAAAGAUGAAAACAAAAGAGGAUCUUUUUUUGUUGUUUUUUUCCUUUAGCACGUUCCAGGAUGUUGUUGAGAACGUAGGAAUACUAAGUGGCUGUUACACGUUCAUUUGUCACUGAAUUGGGUUUGGAUGACCAGGAUUGGGCUGCCUGUCAAGAGAUCUGUUUUCUCAUAGCUCUGUGAGCAUAAC
rnacentral:lncRNA from 1 species